rnacentral:rRNA from 1 species
AUGGAAUGAGUACACUCUAAAUCCUUUAACGAGGAUCAAUUGGAGGGCAAGUCUGGUGCCAGCAGCCGCGGUAAUUCCAGCUCCAAUAGCGUAUGCUAAAGCUGCUGCGGUUAAAAAGCUCGUAGUUGGAUCUCAGUUGCGGGCGGGUGGUGCAUCUACCCGAUGUGACAGCCCGAUCUGAACAUCUUGCCUUCUAUCCUCUGGUGUCCUUCACUGGAUGCCUUUGGGUGGUCGGUGCAUUUACUUUGAAAAAAUUGGAGUGCUCAACGCAGGCGAAGUGCCUGAACACUUAUGCAUGGAAUAAUAGAACAAGACCCCGUUUCUGUUCUGUUGGUUUUUGGAAAACGAGGUAAUGAUCAAGAGGGACAGACGGGGGCAUUCGUAUUGCGGCGCUAGAGGUGAAAUUCUUGGACCGUCGCAAGACGAACUACAGCGAAAGCAUUUGCCAAGAAUGUUUUCAUUGAUCAAGAACGAAAGUUAGAGGUUCGAAGGCGAUCAGAUACCGCCCUAGUUCUAACCAUAAACGAUGCCAACCAGCAAUCCGCCUGAGUUACUCCAAUGACUCUGCGGGCAGCUCCCGGGAAACCAAAGUAUUUGGGUUCCGGGGGAAGUAUGGUUGCAAAGCUGAAACUUAAAGGAAUUGACGGAAGGGCACCACCAGGAGUGGAGCCUGCGGCUCAAUUUGACUCAACACGGGAAAACUUACCCGGCCCGGACACUGGGAGGAUUGACAGAUUGAGAGCUCUUUCUUGAUCGG